UUCAGCAUUCUUGGGUCAGGUUCAUUCAGACAGACAUCAUGGUCGAUUCUAAUAAUUUACAUUAAAUUAUCGGGCGUGCAGUUGCUGCCGGUGCCUGUAAUUUAAAGGACACCAUACACGGGGCGACUUUGUCUUCGGCGAAUGUGUUAUCAGUGAUUUAUCGCGAGAACACACACCAGCAUAUGGACUAUAGUAGAAUAUACCAACUGAAAAUUAUAGCAGAUCGGCGGACAAUGUUUUUCUUUUUUGUUUGUUUGUUUGUUUUUAACGUGUGUGCCGUAUAUGUACUGUACGUAGCAUGUAACGAUCCGGCGAUCUGGCAAGAAGAUUGUGUAUGAGAAGUGUAGUGGAAAUGUCUGGGGCAGAGAAUAACCUAAAAAAAAUUAAGAGAAAUACUAAUUCAAGGGGUUUAUUAUUUUGGCGUGGACCGUGGCUGACAGCGGUUCUGUUUAUUGUAAUAAAUAAAUAAAUAAAUAAACCGUCAAUUAAGGAAAACGAAGACCCUGCUUGUACAGGUGUUACAAGAGUCAUGGAGGAAGAGAAGACGAGACUGUUUCACUCCAAAAAAAAAAAGAAAUGGAUUGAAUGGGCAUGUAUGCUGGGUUAUCUCCCAAUAGAGCAAAGCACCAAGACAACAAGGAAACCAAUAAACAAUGCCCAGGACUGAAGAUCUAAGUCAGAAAAUACAUGAAGCUUUCUUCAAGAUGCAAUAGACAUGGCCUGACAUAGUUAAGAUGUUAGGUAUCCUUCUGUCAUGGAUGCCAAAUAAUAAUAAUAAUAAUAAUAAUAAUAAUAAUAAUAAUAAUAAUAA